AAUAACGAAAUAUUUAGUUACAUAGGAAUUUAUCAGGAUGAGCACUUUAAAAUUGUUUUUAUUUCUGUUAUGUAUAUGUUCAGCUACUUCUAGACGCAUGCGGCAGGUGAAUAGAUGUGUUGAAGAUGUAGAUGUUGACAAAUGCAGUAGGUAUUUAUUUUUCAAGUCAUAUUUGUUUCAAAUUUAUUACGCAAGGAUAAUUUGCGAAGUGUUGUUUUGACUUGAUAGUCUUUUCCCCCAAUGGAGUUGUUUGUUUCUCUUCGAUUUAUGAGUUCUGAAUGUCCUAUUUGUAUAGUCUGCCUCAUUUUCACCGGGGACAAUAAACCAAAUUUGUGUUCCAAGUCUUAAAAAGCUAUGACUAUAUUUAACAAAAAUGCUAUCAUCACUACACCAAACUAUAAUAAUACAAACAUAUGACAAUAGACAACCACUGACGCGGUACCAAGAAUGGGAAACAGUAGCGGAUCCAGGGGGAGUGGGUUCCAGGGUGGUUGAUUCACCUUUUUUUACGAUCAAUGCAUUUGAAUGAGGUCAUAUGAUUGGAAAACCCUUAAUCGUUGUUUGGGACCCCACCCUUUUUUUUUUAUUCAGUGUGCACCAAAUUUUUUAUGUUCUUUCUUCAUAGACAGAAAAAGUAUUACAGUCAUUCCUUAAUAAACUGAUCAUUAGAAAACAAUUAGUUAGUAAUUGCUAAAAAAUAGUAAUUUUUUUUUUUUUGGAAAUUGUAAUCAACAUUCUCUUUACAUUUGUACUUUUCAACGAAUAAUGUUCGUGUAAAAAAAAGUGUAAAACAAUGAUAUUUUAUUUGUUUCAGUUUAUCUGUUGAGCGAUGAUAAUUAUGGGUUUGAGUACUUUUACAAUAAACGAGAAGUAGAGUAUAGCGAUAUUAUCUGUAUGGUAAGUUUCAAAAUGAUAUAUAUUUGAACAAUUGAUUAGAAUAUGCAAUACACAAAACACUAAUUGGCAAAUAUUUUUAAAAAAAACACAACAAACACACACUAACCAUCAACACCAGACAAAAUAACGAUAACAAAUAAAAAAAAACAAAAAAAAACAACAACGGACCGUAAACGGUCUAAAUAGCCUGAUUUGGUACGGAUUAAACCACUUGAAUGGUUUUUGAUUGCAGUUUAAAGUCUCAUGUUGCUGUUUUUCAUCCGAUAAUCACUGAUAUUAAUUAAGUGAGUAAAGUUUACUACAUGAACUUAUGAUUAUAUGAAAACUGUUAAAGAACUAUCUAAUACUGGCCUUAGAAAUUUCAUGUAUAUAGUACUCAGAACAACACAUAAUACUGAACCUGGACAUUUUUUUUUAAAUUUGAUCUAGUAUAUUUACUUAACAAAAACCGUAAAAAUCACCCAAAUAGAAUUUAUUUUAAGUAUUUUUUAUUUAACUUUAAGCUCAAUUACAUCGUUCAUUAAAUAUUCGGUUAUAAGUGCAAAUGUUCUUGUGCCCAAAUCAACAGGUUCUCCCAUUUCUAACUUUCAGAUGAAAUCAAGGAAUUUAAUUGCAAUAUACAAGACACACGUGUAAUCAAAAAGUCAUGAUGAGACCUCAUAAUGUAUUGGUUACUCAAUAUUUUCAUUUAUUGAAUUGAUCAUAAACCCAUGAUGAAUUGUGUAGCAAUUAUUUUUUAUGUAAAUUUCUUGGCUUCAUACUCAAUAAUUGGCUAGCUGCACCGUAUUGUUUUGAAGACACUUGUUUAAAAUCAUCUCAUAUACAUCAAAUAUGGACACUGUCAUGAUUUCAUUUCAUAAUUUUUAUGUGAUAAUUAUCAAAAUGAUGAUAUUUUUUACAGAUGAUUUGGUUACGACGUCAAAUGAGUCUAUUUUAACUCUUCUGGGAAAUGAUGUUCAAGUGAGAUGGUUCUAAAAUGACGAAUUUGCUUGGGACGACUAUGCAUUAUUUGAGUACAAAGUCAUGCCACGCCACAAUACCACAUAACAUAACAGUUUUUCAAUUGUCUAGCUGAAUAUUAUAUUCUUUGUAUGGAUGCAAAAAAAAAUUAUUAAUUAAUGAAUAAAAAUCUCCAUGCCUUUCAAACAUUUGAAGAAAAAUAUAGAAAAGAAAUCAAAAGGACAAACCAAAAAUCUAAUUAUAUAGCAAACUACACCAAAUUAACUAGUGGAACAAAAUAAUUCCGAAAUUUGAAUAAGCCUACGGAUGGAGGCAGUUACUGUCGGUCAUCAUAAUGUAUGUUCAUUUUUUGAGUGGGCUGUUGUAAUACAAGUUACUCUAUCUGUUAAGGCAGGAUUUCAAUUACAUCGUUUAACCAUUGGUAUGUUUGGACAAGUUUGAACCUUGCGAUAUCUUGCGUGUCUUCGAACGUGUGCAUUUUUUUCUCAGUAUAUUAACAAGUUACUUUUUUCAAAUGAAAUAUUUUUUUUCAUCUAUGCUUACCGUUUUUUAUAAUUCUACGAUUAAAUUGACAAAACAAGCACC
rnacentral:lncRNA from 1 species